rnacentral:rRNA from 1 species
GAUGAACGCUAGCUACAGGCUUAACACAUGCAAGUCGAGGGGCAGCAUGAACAUAGCUUGCUAUGUUUGAUGGCGACCGGCGCACGGGUGCGUAACACGUAUCCAAUCUGCCCGUUACUCGGGGAUAGCCUUCUGAAAGGAAGAUUAAUACCCGAUAGUAUCCAUUAGCGGCAUCGCCUAUGGAUUAAAGAUUUAUCGGUAACGGAUGAGGAUGCGUACGAUUAGCUGGUUGGCGGGGUAACGGCCUACCAAGGCGACGAUCAGUAGCCGACCUGAGAGGGUGAUCGGCCACAUUGGAACUGAGACACGGUCCAAACUCCUACGGGAGGCAGCAGUGGGGAAUAUUGCACAAUGGGCGAAAGCCUGAUGCAGCAACGCCGCGUGAAGGAAGAAGGUCUUCGGAUCGUAAACUUCUGUCCUUAGGGAAGAUAAUGACGGUACCUUUGGAGGAAGCCCCGGCUAACUACGUG